CCUACGGGUGGCAGCAGUGGGGGAUAGUGCACAAUGGAGGGAACUCUGAUGCAGCGACGCCGCGUGAGGGAAGAAGGUUGUCGGAUUGUAAACCUCUGUCUGCGGUGACGAAACGAGACGGUAGCCGAGGAGGAAGCCACGGCCAACUACGUGCCAGCAGCCGCGGUAAGACGGAGGUGGCAAGCGUUGUCCGGAAUUACUGGGUGUAAAGGGAGCGUAGGCGGGCAAGCAAGUUGAAUGUUUAAGGUACGGGCUCAACCUGUACAAGCGUUCAAAACUUUUUUUCUUGAGUGGAGUAGAGGUCAGCGGCAUUCCUAUUGUAGCGGUGACCUUCGUACCUCUUCGG
rnacentral:rRNA from 1 species